UUCAAUCAACCAUUGAAACCUUGCAGAAGAGAAGGCAGGAAAGGGAGGGCAGAGGGUCAAAGAGGCUCGCCUUUCAUUUGGACUUGGUUCCGGAGGUGACAGUAAGCAGAAAUUAAACACUAAAAACAACUUGAAGGCAAAAUCCCUUCGAUCAGGAAGGUGCAUCGGGCCUCGCUUUAAGUGAAAGAAAAGAAGGGGAGAGAAGAAGGAAAUUGAAAAUGAAAGCAACUUCAGAUUCAUAGAAAUUCGGCUAUACUUUGCUGCUUAUAUUAAUUACAUAUUUGGAGGCAAGAAGCAAUCUUUGGGAUUCAGAUGGCUGCCCUUGGAACUCAGCUGCCAGGCCAUGGGGAGGAAGCCUCAUGGAAAGGCCACGUGCUCCAGCCCCAGCCCCAUCUGGGGUCCCAGCCGACAGCCAGCAACAGCCUCCAGACAUACAAUCAAGAGAACCUCCAGAUGACCUCGCUGAUGCCAAGUGGAGCAGAGAUGAACUGUCUCCACUGAGCCCUACCCAAAUUGCUGAUUGGUGAACAAAAUAAAUGUUGUUGAUAUUUUAAGUCA